rnacentral:rRNA from 1 species
GGACUACUGGGGUAUCUAAUCCCGUUCGCUCCCCUAGCUUUCGUGCAUCAGCGUCAGAAAACGCCCAGUAAGCCGCUUUCGCUCCUGGUGUUCCUUACGAUAUCAACGCAUUUCACCGCUCCACCGUAAGUUCCGCUUACCUCUGCGUUCCUCAAGCCCAGUAGUUUAGGGCGCAAUUCCUCGGUUGAGCCGAGGGCUUUCACACCCUACUUUCUGAGCCGCCUACGCACCCUUUAAGCCCAGUGAAUCCGAAUAACGUUUGGACGGUUCGUCUUACCGCGGCUGCUGGCAC